CCUACGGGAGGCAGCAGUGGGGGAUAUUGCACAAUGGGGGGAACCCUGAUGCAGCGACGCCGCGUGGGUGAAGAAGCGCCUCGGCGCGUAAAGCCCUGUCAGCAGGGAAGAAAAUGACGGUACCUGAAGAAGAAGCCACGGCUAACUACGUGCCAGCAGCCGCGGUAAUACGUAGGGGGCAAGCGUUAUCCGGAUUUACUGGGUGUAAAGGGGGCGGAGACGGCGAUGCAAGCCAGGAGUGAAAGCCCGGGGGCCAAACCCGGGACUGCUCUUGGAACUGCGUGGCUGGAGUGCAGGAGGGGCAGGCGGAAUUCCUGGUGUAGCGGUGAAAUGCGUAGAUAUCAGGAGGAACACCGGUGGCGAAGGCGGCCUGCUGGACUGCAACUGACGUUGAGGCCCGAAAGCGUGGGGAGCAAACAGGAUUAGAUACCCGGGUAGUC
rnacentral:rRNA from 1 species